CUCCCGGAAACCAAAUGAGAGAGCAUGUUUUAACUUUUUGCGGUGCGAGAGAUGGAGGGACAAACAUUUUGGACCGUCCACUGCGAAACCCCAGGAUAUUCGAAAUCUCGUUUGCGUUUCCCGAGGAUAUUCCAAUCUCGUCUGCCUCUCGCUCUUAAUUCUCUCUCUCAACCAUUCGUGAUUUACAUCUCUCUCUCAACAUUCGUGAUUUAAAUCUCUCUCUCUCUCAACAUUCGCAACUUAUACGCCACUUGUACCGUGGUUCACAGGUGCCUCAUCCUUCCCUUCAAAACACUUACAGGCGCUUUACACUCUCUCACCAAAAAAUGAAAUCUUGAGAACCUUCUUUCCUAUGAUGGCCACUGCAAUCUCUUCUCUGGUCUCAAACACUUACAAACCUCAACCUUUGAACCUCUGUUACUCUAGCACUAACAUCAAUGCUAUUGCUAUUAAAGCAAGCAAUAGUUUUAUAGGGAGAAAGGGAAAGUUGAAUGGAGGGUCGGCAGGUUGUGGACAGAGAAUUGGGAGAGUGGGGGCACGGUGGAGAAGGGGAAAUGGGUCCUUUGCUAUGAAUAUGGCGAUAGUUUCCAAGUGGAGGAGGAAAGGGAUUUUCGGCGGCAGCAUCGAGCAGCAGCCCCAAUCCUCUGAUUCUGUGGCUGGGAUGUUGCCUCUGGUUGUUGCUGCCACCGCAGCUGGAGCUCUCCUUUACCCUGUUACCUUUUCAUGGGUAUCAAAAGAGUAUUACGCCCCUGCUCUUGGCGGGAUUAUGCUAUCCAUUGGCAUUCAGUUAUCUAUCAAUGAUUUUGCUCUUGCAUUUCAAAGACCUUUACCUCUGUCUAUUGGGUUUAUGGCGCAGUAUGUGCUUAAACCUAUGUUGGGCCUCAUGAUAGUAAGAGCAUUCCGAAUGCCUCCCAUAUUUGCUGCCGGUUUCAUCCUUACAUCCUGUGUAUGUGGUGCACAACUCUCGAGUUAUGCGAGUUUCUUGACCCAAGGAGACGUGGCUCUGAGCAUUCUCUUGACCAGUUGCACCACCAUAUCAUCAGUGCUUGUUACCCCGCUUCUUACCCGUCUGCUUAUAGGCUCUGUAGUGCCAGUUGAUGCAGUGGCCAUGUCCAAGUCGAUAUUGCAGGUUGUGCUUCUUCCAAUUACCUUAGGGCUUGUUCUAAAUACCUAUGCAAAGCCGGUUGUUAAUGCUAUUCGACCUUUCAUGCCAUUCCUUGCCAUGAUCUGCACUUCAUUGUGUAUUGGUAGCCCCCUUGCUAUUAACCGGAACCAGAUAUUGACCAUGGACGGCCUUCGCUUGCUUGCACCAGUACUAGUUUUUCAUACUUCAGCAUUCAUAGUGGGAUACUGGGUUUCCAAGCUGGAGUUUUUGAGGCAAGAGGAGAAUGUGUGUAGAACGAUAUCUCUAUGUACCGGAAUGCAAAGCUCGACGCUUGCUGGGCUCCUUGCCACUCAAUUUCUCGGCAGCAGCCAUGCAGUCCCAGCUGCUUGCUCAGUGGUUGCCAUGGCCAUUCUGGGUCUUAACCUUGCUUUUUAUUGGGGCAAUGGGUUUAGAAUACGAGACAUCCCCAACCAGCUUUCCUCUCAAAUCUGUCAUAUCUUGAAUAAGGGGGCAUAUUCCUGAAGGCCCACUAAAUAUUGAUGGAUCAUUUUCAUCUUCUUCAUGGCUGGUAAUGAACCCAUCAUCUAAUCAACUUCGAGGAAUUUUCUUAGGCAGCACACAGCACCAGGUUUCAUGAAAUUUGAACAGUGAACAUUUUAACACAAGGUCCAGGCGUUCCAUAACAUGGAAUUAAGUACAUCAGAUAUUUAUACAAACUUACUUGCACUACAAGAAGAUGAGAUAUACGGAAGGAUAGUUGAGAAAUGGCUUCACACAGUGCGGAUAAAUUGAUUAUGCCUAAUUGCAUUAUAUAUAUAUAUUUUUUUUGAAUGAUGCAGGGAGAGUAUUGGCAGGAAUGCUGCAUUGUAACUGGUGUAAAUGCAUCAUGUUUAUACCUGAAGAAACAAAACCAUGCCUCAUAUAAUUCAACCAUGCCGCAAAGGUGGAUGAUUAAUCCGACUGUCAGUGACAUGCGCACUCUGUGUAUUGUGUCUGCCUGUUGAGUUUGCUGUCACUAGUUGGUGCUUACGUGGAAAUGGAUUGCAUAUUUCUGUGAUGUUUCAUAUUAUGAUUCACUUCCAUGAAAGUCAUUUCUUGGAAGAGUUCUGACGCAUUGAACUCCCGAAAUGAAGUUUCUAAUUGGAAAAAAAAGAGAGGAAAGGGAAAGCAAGGAGAGGACUCUUAUUUCCAUGGAAAACCAUAGUAUAUAUGUGAUAACAUAAUGGUUCCAUAUAGAGUACCGAAAGUCAACUUGGCCAAGGUAUUUGGAGCUCGGCUGAGGAGAGUGACACAAGAGAAAUCUUUCCAAAUUUUAAAAAUGAAAAGACAAAGUAAGUACAUGCAUUGUUGUCUCUCUCUUUUAAACAUUAAGUGUCGGCGGGCUUACUGGUUGGGUUAGCUGCCCUUGUACACCUCUUUCUAGGGGAACCUUGAGAAAAAGGAUUGCAGAAAAAAGGGGGAAACAUCAAUUGGGGUGAUUCGGACCCCAGCCGCAAUGGGAAAUAUCCAUGUACUCUAUUCACAUGAACAUUCAAGCACGCUCGUCUUAAAAUCGACGCAAUAAUGUAUAUAAACUAUACAAGAACUGGUGUAGCAUGUUCGGGCAAAACUUGCCUCGCUCUUAGGGCGAGCCAAGUAACUCCGCUGUGUCCUGAUACACUGGUUGCACGCAUAGGUACUUAGCAGGUUUUUGUAGGUACAAUUUGUUGCAGUUGAAAAUGAUGAAUUGACAUUUUGAUGUUAUUAGUUACACUCAAGAGGUCAAUCGCUACUGUACCUUUGGGCUAGCGUGCUGGUGUGAGGUCAAUGUUCCCUGUGCCUUUUGGGUUACCGUGCUGGUGUGUCACCUGAAGGCCUUAAAAGAAGGCUCAACAAGGUAUAUUAGUUGCUGCAAUGAUCCCUGGCCUACAAGUACCAAGCUAAUUGUGCUGGUACAUGAACUUCUACUUCUUUAACAUUCUUAAAGCUGCUGGGUGAAAGAUAGAUAAGCUUAAGACAUUCCUAACUAGUUGAGAUCAAUCCACAAGAUAACUGAUGUAUGACCUGGAGCAUUACAGUUCAGAAUAAAAUUUUGUAUUAAGGUAUACCAUGAUGCACCCAAAGCUUGUGAAGAUCUCAGCGGUUGGUGGUCAACAACGGAUGGUUGUAUAAUACAUGCAGGAUACAACGAACCGUCAUACAUCCCUGAUUUAUGUAAACUCUCAAAUGACUUCUCAUGGUCUUAUCAUAUACGUCGAGUACAAUGUAGUGACUAAAAGUCCACUAGGAGAAGUGCUGAAUCUCUCCCCUCUGAAGACCAAUGGAUUCUCUUCGACGUAAAUAAAACUUUCCCCUGACUUUGUUGCCUAAGAUUUUUCACAAGGUAAUUAGAUCUCUGCUCCCGGCAAGUAUUAGUAUUCUGACUAGGGAAAAUACUUGGUUUGCCCCAAGGUGGGCUGCUGUAGCAUCCAUCCUUCCCAAAUAAAGAAGGAUGGAGGAUGUACAUAAAAAUACUCUAAAAAUAAGGCUCAAGGGGAUUUAAUUGACCUUAAAUUUUACAGAUUGCAUUGUUUCCACUGGACGGACAACUUAAAUAAAAAGGAAAACAAUGAUAUUGAUUCUUAAAGGGCUUGAUCUAACAUGAAAUUGAAAGUAUGUGUUCAUCGAGUUAAAAAGACCAUAUUCAAAGUGUUUUUUUUUUUCGAAAGUUGUUCAUGGGCUUCUUUAGCGGGGACCGAGAUGCGGUUAAAACGGGGGCAAAAACAUUGUCCGUGAGGCCACAAAAUGGGGAGAGGCAACCCGUCACGGUGGCGGCCAAUGAAUUUUCCCCUUCAAUUAACCAUUUAAAAAUCUGAUUAUUCUUUUGCCUUUGUUAGGAAUGGGCUCUAUUCUAAUUAGACAUGCAGAGAUCUUGUUACUUUCUACAUUCUAAGCACAAAA